rnacentral:sRNA from 1 species
UAAAAUAUAUGUCUUGCCGAAGACAGCAGGGGGCAAUUGCCUUAAUCAUCCUGCCGAGGAAGAAUCCAGUUCAUAAACAAUGGAUCCUCUAUGUCUAGGUGGCAUAGAGUUUUUUGUUUUAC